UGCGUUUCCUAGGAUCAAGGACUUUCACUUAGGUGGUGACAGUACGGUGACAGUGUCGGGAGAUUGAAGCUGGCACGCUGCGCGUCCCAGCACGGUGCUUUAGAGCAGUUGCUUUCUGAUCGGGGAUCCAGCGCAGGAUCACACACUCCCUUUAGCCUUCCUUCAUUCGGAAAGUCUCCUCCAUCCGCCUUUGACGUGUCAUCUACGUUGUGAAGACCACAGACCAGCCCCGCGUUUGGCUCACGGUUGGAUGCAGGCUGUGUGUUUGGGGCAGGGACGGCCCCGAGGGGGUGCCGUGCUGUCGGCCUGUCCUGCCAGGAGGCACCUGGUGUGGCCCGUCUUGGGAGCAAACUUCCAUCCGUUGGGCCAGGAGGUCUCCCCACUGUGAGGACUGCGUACUGCAGAAAGUGUGGCCUUUGCCUUGAGCCCAGGGCUGCACUGAGCCCGAGGUAGGGAAGGCUGCCUGGGGAGAGCAGGUUGCUCCGUCACUGCCUGGUCUGCGGCUGUCACUUCACUUCCCGGAGCCUCAGUUUCUUCACCUGUACACAGGGGUCGGUCACCUGCUCACCGUGAGAGACGAUGAGGACGAUUGCCUCUGCUGCUGGUGGGAGCUCAUAGGAUUAAGAGUCAACUCCUUUGGGGAAACCUGUUCGACCCAGCCGG